AACGAACGCUGGCGGCAGGCUUAACACAUGCAAGUCGAACGAUGUAGCAAUACAUAGUGGCGCACGGGUGAGUAACGCGUGGGAACGUGCCUUUUAGUUUGGAAUAACACCGGGAAACUGGUGCUAAUGCCAAAUACGCCCUUCGGGGGAAAGAUUUAUCGCUAAAAGAUCGGCCCGCGUCAGGUUAGCUAGUUGGUGGGGUAAUGGCCUACCAAGGCUCCGAUCUGUAGCUGUUCUGAGAGGAAGAUCAGCCACACUGGAACUGAGACACGGUCCAGACUCCGACGGGAGGCAGCAGUGGGGAAUAUUGGACAAUGGGGGAAACCCUGAUCCAGCCAUGCCGCGUGAGUGAUGAAGGCCUUAGGGUUGUAAAGCUCUUUUACCAGGGAAGAUGAUGACGAUACCUGGAGAAUAAGCACCGGCUAACUUCGUGCCAGCCGCCGCAGUAA
rnacentral:rRNA from 1 species